UAUUCCCUUCCCACCAAACCCCGCAGCUGCCCUCCUUCGGUCCUCCAUCCUCUCGAGCCCCCCUCCGCACAGCCCCUCCCUGCUUCCUCCUCGUCACCGUAGCCGCCGCAUUCCUACCUUUCCUCCUUCUCGUCACCACAGCCGCUGGUCCCCUCGCUCCUCCUCCAUCAUCCCUUCCACUACCGCACGAACCUUCCGGGUCGGGGCGAGGCAGAAGGCCGUGGCGAAUCUGGCGCCUGCAGGCAGAAGCAGCAGGAGUGGGUGGAGCAGCGGAUGCAAACGGGGUCAUCGACGGAGCUGCAGGAGCAAGGAGCUCGAGUUGGCUCAUGGCUUGCCUUUGCAUACUCUUUCUCCCCCUUCCCUCACUCACGCCUCCCCUUUUUCUCAUGGGUGAGGGCUUCGGCUGCAGGUGCGCCACGAGGAGUGGAAGGCCGAAUCCAUGUGAUGACCAGAGCAGCAGGAGCAAGGAGCCUCCUCUCUCGCUCUCUCUCAGUGGUUGAGGACUUCCUCAAGAAGAAAGAUGAAGGCCAAAUAGAAGAAGAAUUUGGCUCAAAGGUCUUGCGGAGGUGCCUCUGACCGUCUCUACUUUCCUAUUAAUUUCUCCACCAUGCACAUUGGAAUUAGAUAAUAUAUGUUUUUUUAAACAUGGCGCGUACAGAUCUGAGGUUUUCUAUUUGUAGGUAGUGAUUCUAUAUAUUAUGAUGUAGUCUGAUAUUUUAAGAUAUUCACAAAAGGAGUGUUUAAUAUGUACACAUUUAUAUAACUAUGUAGUCAGGCAUAUUUCAUCUCUUUUCUUGAUCGAAUGAAGCACUGGUCUUGAUAACUUCAUCAGCUCCGUACAUUUGUUCGUGUAACUUCGGCUAGGCAAUGAAAACUUAAUGUGGCUGGAGUUCUACGCGCAUUAAAUCUGAUUAUCCUUAUAUUUCAAAUCCAAUGUCUUGGCCUUUAGAGGCUAUUUUGGCCUCACAGGGUGAAGGCAUGUUUGUGCAGGCAAUGAAAAUAGGGUACUCAUUUUUAUCUUGUAGAAUGUGGUUCAGGAAAAGAUAUAUGUGCCUUAUGUGCCUUAUAGAAGAUACAUUAUAUUAGCAUGUUAUGAUAAGAUAUGUUUAUAUGUAUAAUGUGGAUCCUUGAUAAGUAGACUAGCCUGAUCUCAUGGCAAUAACCAUGCUCUCUGUUAAUAUGGUCUCUUCUAAAGUAUAUUUAACAAAGCUUUCAGUUUGUGUUUAUACCACAUUCUCUUACAAAUUUACAUUACAGUAUGUCCUAGAAAAGGCACCAGAUCACUUUAUGCCUUGCAUACAUGUUUUGGUAGAAACAAUGCAUCGAAGUCUUCUACAAACUUUUUGGAUUUGACAGCCGUACCGUAUCAGGUCAAUAGUAGUGGUGAAACCGUAUCAGGUCAAUAGUAGCGGUGAAAAAUCAACGGGGUAUGGUGGCGGCUAGGGGGCAGAGUCGCCCAUGAGUCGCCGGAGUCAAACGAUAGACAAAGCAAAUAGGGUCGGUGAUAAUAGCAUGUUUUCUGGGCAACACAUUUUUUUUCUUCUACUUGUUGUUUAUUAGUAGGCAGCAAAUGGCUUUUAAAAGAAAAAGGUGGUGGACAGGUGGCGUUCAUGGCCACCUUGCAAUCCUACAUUCAGGACUUCGUGUUUAAAUUUGGUAGUUCUGCACUAUCAUUUUCAUUUCUUCUGUAAGUUUUUUACCUUGUGUACUAAUGCACGUUUUGUGCUUUUUUCAGAGUGCAUAAUGUCCCCUCAGGUUCGAAUUGCUCUGAAGUUAUCAGGGCAUUUCCUUGUAGGGCUUGUUCGCAUUUAUUCAUGGAAGGUGAACUACCUGUUUCAAGAUUGUAACCCACCUAAAAAUCCCUUCUGCCUUCCUGUUUUUGUUUGUGUAUGUCGCUCUGUAAAGAUUGGUUAGCCUGACCAUGAAAGGGUGCUUCAGAUUAGAAAAGCAUGGUUUUUCUUUGUGUAAUUUUCAGGACAAAGGAGGCUGUGGAGGAACUCAUAAAUGACGUGCUAAAUUAUUAAUUAGCCGUAUUCUUGAUUUUUCGUUUUUUAAAGAUAAUUGAGCAACAAGUCAUGUAGAGUUACUACCGUAUAGUAUAUUUCUAACUGCAUGAUCGAAACUGUACAUUCUGAAAGUAUAUUGGACUCUUGCCCUUGGGAAAUUAGGCUGUUAUAUCAUUACUUUGUAAAUAAAUCACAUGUUAACUUGCUGGUUCAGUUUAAAGCUGCAGGCAGAGGCUUGCGGUAGGGAAAAAUAAUAAUUGUGCCAGUUGAAAACCAAAGCGUUUAUUUGUGACUGUAUAAUCUGGACUGUGGUUUUAUGAAAGUAUGUUAGGCUCCUGCUCUUAGGAGAUUAAGAGUUGUUGUGGUUUGCUUGGUCCAGUGCCCCGAAGGGAGCUCACGUGCUAAAAAAACCAAUGUUUUUUUUAUGGUUAGUUCACGUGCUAAAAAAACCAAUCUCUGCGAAAAUAGCAUGCUCAUUUUAGUUAUAUUGAUUAAUAGCAUCUCUAUGUUAUUAGAUACUCCCUCCGUUCUUUUUCAACUGCUUAGAUCAUAUUUGAUUCCAAUGCUUGCUUUCAUAUCAUUGGUUUGUCCAAAGUUUAUGUUCAGAGAUUAUGCUUCAAAGAUAUGUUCAGAUAUCCUACAAAAAAAAGUAAGAUGAUCGCCCAAUUCUAGCUUCAUCUGCUUUACCUAUUUUUUUUAUUUUUUUAUUUAGAUCACCUGAGUUCUAGGCAGUGAGUACUAGAAAGCAUUAUCACAUUUCAGUGCAUUUUCAUACUUUGUGAAGCAUUUCAGUUUUAUGGAUAUGGGCAUUCAAUUGAGAACUGGGAACAAUUUUGUUUGACUUUUCAGAUGAUAAUUUUUAUCGGUUAUAGUUACAAUUACUAGAAGUAGCAAAGGCAUGGGUUAAUUUAGAGCUUGAGUUGGCAGCUAUGCUUUUUUGCAUUCCAGAUUAUGCAAAGAGAUUGCCAUGUUUUUUUUUUAUUUCGGUUUAGUUCAUUCCCUUAUAUAUCCAGUUGUUUUCUGCAGAAUUUUUUUUAAAUGUUCAUGUUGUAAUGGAUGGAUAUGUUGAUGGCAUCGUCAUGUCAUGUAAAUUACAUGCAGAACAAAUCUAUAUUUUUGUUGGGACUAAAAGUGAAAACUAUAUUUGGGACCCAAACUUUUCAAAUAGCUCUGAAUAUGAAUUGGGACCUUGCGCUGUUUGGGGUGGAGCUGUUGGGAGUGAGAGGCGGAUAACAAUAGGGCGAAGAAGCAUGCCAUCGAGGAGUGCAAGCAGCAGUGCUCCUUCGCAAUGGGGUGUGGCUAUAGGGGAGGGGAGGCGGCCAACGACGGGGAGAAGGAGCAGGUCGUCGAGGAGUGCAAGCAGCAGGAUUAAUUUAGGCCCAUACAGUUUCCGUGGACUGGAAGUCUGAAACUGAAGAUAGGGCAUAUUGUUUUGGUUCUGAGUGGUUGGAGAUAUUGCGGAUUGAUGUCCCUAGAGCAGUCGGACCCUUCCAAGAUAGGUGCUAAAAUCCUAGGUGUCAAGGGCAUUGUGGUGGCGCGAUCCAUGUCUACUGCAAUCGCUCGGCAUGGCGUCCAUGGCCCCUUUUGCUGCAUUUUUUGUUUUUCGGCAAAUAUGUUCUUGCUUGACCCCUGGUGAAUAUGUUCAUGAUUCAUAAUCAUUGUAUCUGAUUCAUAAGAAAUAGUGAGAUGCUUUGUUAUGAGUUACGAUAUAGGCUUUGUAAAAUUUGCAUGCAAUUUGUUGAUGGUUAGGCUUCGAGCUCCAUUUCAAUAAUUAGAGCUUUUUUCUGAUCC